rnacentral:ncRNA from 1 species
CGUCUCCUCCACCUCCUCCUUUGGUGGAUUAAGCUCGAGCCUCAGUUGCCCGGGCUUUUUUUC